rnacentral:tRNA from 1 species
GCCCGGGUGGUGAAAUUGGUAAACACAGCGGACUUAAAAUCCGCCGGGCCUGAUAAGCCCUUACCGGUUCGAUUCCGGUUCCGGGCACCA